GCGGUGUCUACUUUCCCACACAAUUACUAUAAAAAUCGAGCAGCCGGCGCGCGCGUAUAGCUGUGCCGGCAUUUCAGACGCGGACUGCACUUCAUGCCUUAAGUGAACAGUUAAUGAGGUCGCGGGAAACGCGUGCAGGAGUGGAGUACCGACAAUGCCAUCCCGGCCGGUCAAUGGCAAGGCUGUCUCUCCAGUCUACAUGAGACCCGCUGUGACACUCCCCAAAAGACGCUAAUAUCGUCAACGAAGACGUCUUUCUACACUAUAUAAAUGAAAAAAGGAUGGCGACCUGCGCCACCACCACCUGAUCAAAG